rnacentral:rRNA from 1 species
CAGGUUUCCGUAGGUGAACCUGCGGAA